UGGACAGAAAUGUGGUUCAUUUUUUGUCAGAACAACUUUUCCUGUCACAGCCCAGGCCCUGUGACUGGCAGUUUCCCAAGACAUUGUCCAUGCUACUAAUGCCUGUCGGGGGAAACACGGACUGAUAUCCAGAGGUCUGGUGGGGUGGAGUUGCUGCACUGAGGGGCAGACUGGCCACUGGGAGCCUGCCCUUGGUUGGGCUUCUGCCUGCACAACUCUGGUGGUAAUGAGGCUCCCCAUGGAAGCCCUUCUCCAGUCAGCAAGCAGGAGGGCUAGGGACGCAGAAGAGAUGCCUUGACUCACAAUUGAGGCAGCCCUUCCUGGAGAUUCACAGUGUAAGAGAGAUUCCCUGUUGCUGGCACUGAAAAUGGAGCAUCCACAUUACAGGGAACGUGGGCGGCCUCUAGAAGCUGAGAUUCGCCCCCAGGAAAUCAGCACUCUUGUCCUACCUGAGCCUGGAACAGGGGUCUGGCCUCUAGAUGAGACCAAAGCUUAGACAACACCUUGAUUUCCCCCUUGUGUGAGCAGAGGACCCAGCUGACCCCUGCCCAGCCUUCCGAAACCACAGAAACUGCAAGGUAAUAAGUACACGCUGUUUUAGGCUGGGGGAAGAAAAAAAUCACUUCCAUUUUGUUUAAGAUUCAGCUCUUGUCCAUUUCACCAAGAAUGAGUUUCUUGUGAUUUCUGAUGACCUUCCAGAAAAGGGGCUACUGUCCAUAAAGCCAGGACUCACCCAUCUCUUGUCUACUUAUUCCCUGAAGCCAUGUCCUAACACCAGUCCCACAUGGCCUGAGACCUUCACUUCACUUUGGCCCGUUCCUCAGACGUACCAUACUUUUGUCUUCUCCAAAGAAAUUAAUCUUUAGCUGGAACCAUCUAUUUGUUUCAUCUGUUUGUUUAUCUGUUUGUUAUCUAUGCCCCCUCCCUAGAAUGCAAGCGCCAGGAAGGGAGUGACCUUGAGUGUGGCUUAUUCUGGCCUGCCCGGCAUCUAGAACAGUGCCUGGCACACUGUAGGCACUCAAUACACAUUAGGGAUAGAAUGCGUAAUCUUGGCUCCUGCCUGCUCGUCUGCCAGUGCGUACAGAAAUCUCAGCUUCUGAGGUGCCUGGGUGGCUC